rnacentral:rRNA from 1 species
AACGAACGCUGGCGGCAGGCCUAACACAUGCAAGUCGAACGCUGUAGCAAUACAGAGUGGCAGACGGGUGAGUAACGCGUGGGAACCUUCCCAAUGGUACGGAAUAGCUCAGGGAAACUUGAGGUAAUACCGUAUAAGUCCCUAGGGGGAAAGAUUUAUCGCCAUUGGAUGGGCCCGCGACGGAUUAGCUAGUUGGUGAGGUAAUGGCUCACCAAGGCGACGAUCCGUAGCUGGUUUGAGAGAAUGACCAGCCACACUGGGACUGAGACACGGCCCAGACUCCUACGGGAGGCAGCAGUGGGGAAUCUUGGACAAUGGGCGAAAGCCUGAUCCAGCCAUGCCGCGUGAGUGACGAAGGCCUUAGGGUUGUAAAGCUCUUUUGCCGGGGACGAUAAUGACGGUACCCGGAGAAUAAGUCCCGGCUAACUUCGUGCCAGCAGCCGCCGUAA